rnacentral:rRNA from 1 species
UACGUAGGAGGCGAGCGUUGUCCGGAAUUACUGGGCGUAAAGAGCGCGUAAGCGGCACGGUACGACCGGUGUGAAAGCCCCCGGCUCAACUGGGGAGGGUCACCGGUAACGGCCGAGCUAUGAGUGCAGGAGAGGGAAGUGGAACUCCGGGAGUAGCGGUGAAAUGCGUAGAGACCCGGAGGAACACCAGUGGCGAAGGCGGCUUCCUGGUCUGCGACUGACGCUGUGGCGCGAAAGCUAGGGGAGCGAACGGG